rnacentral:rRNA from 1 species
GUCGGGUAAGUUCCGACCUGCACGAAUGGCGUAACGACUUGGGCGCUGUCUCAACGAGGGACUCGGUGAAAUUGUAGUAUCGGUGAAGAUGCCGAUUAAUCGCAGCUAGACGGAAAGACCCCGUGAACCUUUACUGCAGCUUGAUAUUGGGAUCCGGUUCAUCCCGUCCAGGAUAGGAGGGAGGCUUUGAAGCCAUGACGCUAGUCGUGGUGGAGCCAACCUUGGGAUACCUCCCUGGAUGUUUCGGAUUUCUAACCCCAUGCCGUGAUCCGGGUGGGGAACAGUGUCAGGUGGGCAGUUUGACUGGGGCGGUCGCCUCCUAAAAUGUAACGGAGGCGCCCAAAGGUUCCCUCAGCAUGGUCAGAAAUCAUGCGUAGAGCGUAAAGGCAUAAGGGAGCUUGACUGUGAGACCAACAAGUCGAACAGGUACGAAAGUAGGGCUUAGUGAUCCGGCCGUGGAGAGUGGAAUUGCGGUCGCUCAACGGAUAAAAGGUACUCCGGGGAUAACAGGCUUAUGAUGCCCAAGAGUCCAUAUCGACGGCAUCGUUUGGCACCUCGAUGUCGGCUCAACGCAUCCUGGGGCUGAAGUAGGUCCCAAGGGUUGGGCUGUUCGCCCAUUAAAGCGUUACGCGAGCUGGGUUCAGAACGUCGUGAGACAGUUCGGUCCCUAUCUGCUGUGAUCGUUGGAGAAUUGACAGGAGCUGCCCCUAGUACGAGAGGACCGGGGUGGACAGACCUCUGGUGUCCCAGUUGUCCUGCCAAGGGCAUCGCUGGAUAGCUACGUCUGGAUGGGAUAACCGCUGAAAGCAUCUAAGCGGGAAGCCCACCUGGAGAUAAAUUCUCCCAUCCCCUUGAGGGAGUAAGAGCCCUGGCAGACCACCAGGUUGAUAGGCGGGAUGUGGAAGUGCAGCAAUGCAUGUAGCUAACCCGUACUAAUAGCUCGAGGUCUUAUGUUG